UUAGCUUUAAUACAUUUUUAAACCCGUUCUUAUCAGUUUAAUAUCUGAGAUGUCCUUUAUAUGAGAACUUUCUAUUAGCUGUAUUUUUCAAUAGGAAGCUGGAUUAGGAGCUUGCUCUAUCCACUCUAUGCAAUGACUUGGUAUUUCAAUAUUUCUAGGAGCAGUGCACUUCCC
rnacentral:snRNA from 1 species